rnacentral:rRNA from 1 species
CCUGGGGCUGGAGAAGGUCCCAAGGGUUCGGCUGUUCGCCGAUUAAAGUGGCACGCGAGCUGGGUUCAGAACGUCGUGAGACAGUUCGGUCCCUAUCUGUGGUGGGCGUAGGAAGUUUGAGAGGCUCUGAUUUUAGUACGAGAGGACCGAAUUGGACUGACCGCUGGUGUAUCUGUUGUCUUGCCAAGGGCACGGCAGAGUAGCUAAGUCGGGACGGGAUAAACGCUGAAAGCAUCUAAGUGUGAAACCCACCUCAAGAUGAGACUUCCCUUGAGGAACGUUAGAGAUUAUGACGUAGAUAGGCUACAGGUGGAAGUGCAGUAAUGUAUGCAGCCGAGUAGUACUAAUGAACCGAGAGCUCUUAAAUUU